rnacentral:misc_RNA from 2 species
AGCAGCCGCGGUAAUUCCAGCUCCAAUAGCGUAUAUUAAAGUUGUUGCAGUUAAAAAGCUCGUAGUUGAACUUCAGGCCUGUCCAGACGGUCCGCCUUAAUUGGUGUGUACUGUCCUUGGGCGGGUCCUACUUUCUGGCGAAGCGGCAUGGCCUUAAUUGGUUGUGUCGGGGAACCAGGACUUUUACUGUGAAAAAAUUAGAGUGUUCAAAGCAGGCAAAUAUGCUCGAAUACAUUAGCAUGGAAUAAUGGAAUAGGACGAUGGUUCUAUUUUGUUGGUUCUAGGACCGUUGUAAUGAUUAAUAGGGAUAGUUGGGGGCAUUAGUAUUCAAUUGUCAGAGGUGAAAUUCUUGGAUUUAUUGAAGACUAACUACUGCGAAAGCAUUUGCCAAGGAUGUUUUCAUUAAUCAAGAACGAAAGUUAGGGGAUCGAAGACGAUCAGAUACCGUCGUAGUCUUAACCAUAAACUAUGCCGACUAGGAAUCGGGCGAUGUCGACAAAAUGACUCGCUCGGCACCUCA